AUUGAACGCUGGCGGCAUGCUUUACACAUGCAAGUCGAACGGCAGCACGGGGGCAACCCUGGUGGCGAGUGGCGAACGGGUGAGUAACACAUCGGAACGUGUCCUCUUGUGGGGGAUAACCUGGCGAAAGCCAGGCUAAUACCGCAUGAGCUCGAGAGAGGAAAGCGGGGGAUCGAAAGACCUCGCGCGGGAGGAGCGGCCGAUAGCCGAUUAGCUAGUUGGUGGGGUAAAGGCCCACCGAGGCGACGACCGGUAGCUGGUCCGAGAGGAUCAUCAGCCACACUGGGACUGAGACACGGCCCAGACUCCUACGGGAGGCAGCAGUGGGGAAUUUUGGACAAUGGGGGCAACCCUGAUCCAGCCAUGCCGCGUGAGUGAAGAAGGCCUUCGGGUUGUAAAGCUCUUUCGGUGGGAACGAAACGGGCACGGCUAAUACCCGUGUUCAAUGACGGCACUCACAGAAGAAGCUCCGGCUAACUUCGUGCCAGCCGCCGCGGUAAAAC
rnacentral:rRNA from 1 species